CGAGAAAGCCCGCAAGGGUGAGUAAAGCGACGCACGGGUGCGUAACACGUGGGUAAUCUGCCCUAGAGUCCGGAAUAACUCGCCGAAAGGCGUGCUAAUGCCGGAUGAGACCACGGGAGCCUCGGCUCCUGCGGGAAAAGGUGGCCUCUGUACACAAGCUAUCGCUCUAGGAUGAGCACGCGGCCCAUCAGCUCGUUGGCGGGGUAAUGGCCCACCAAGGCUACGACGGGCAGCUGGUCUGAGAGGACGAUCAGCCACACUGGAACUGAGACACGGUCCAGACUCCUACGGGAGGCAGCAGUGGGGAAUCUUGCGCAAUGGGCGAAAGCCUGACGCAGCAACGCCGCGUGUGUGAUGAAGGUCUUCGGAUCGUAAAGCACUGUCGCGAGGGACG
rnacentral:rRNA from 1 species